GAUGAACGCUGGCGGCGUGCUUAACACAUGCAAGUCGAACGAAGCGCCUUAUUUGAUUUUCUUCGGAACUGAAGAUUUGGUGACUGAGUGGCGGACGGGUGAGUAACGCGUGGGUAACCUGCCCUGUACAGGGGGAUAACAAUCAGAAAUGACUGCUAAUACCGCAUAAGACCACAGCACCGCAUGGUGCAGGGGUAAAAACUCCGGUGGUACAGGAUGGACCCGCGUCUGAUUAGCUGGUUGGUGAGGUAACGGCUCACCAAGGCGACGAUCAGUAGCCGGCUUGAGAGAGUGAACGGCCACAUUGGGACUGAGACACGGCCCAAACUCCUACGGGAGGCAGCAGUGGGGAAUAUUGCACAAUGGGGGGAACCCUGAUGCAGCGACGCCGCGUGAGUGAAGAAGUAUUUCGGUAUGUAAAGCUCUAUCAGCAGGGAAGAAAAUGACGG
rnacentral:rRNA from 1 species